CAGAGGGAUUUAGAGCAGGCGUUAAGCUUGAAGCUCUGAAGUCUGCUGUGAGAAUGAAAUGAGAUAGCAAAGCUGUGCCUGAAGUCAUGUCUACCCUUUGGACUUUCUCUUCAAUUUAAGUCAUUUUGAGUAGUGUUUCUGCCUCUUGGAAUCUAAAGGAUCCACAUGAAUGUAAUGAAGUUAUGUGCCAGGUGCUAUGAGGCGAUGAGAAGGAAGAAGAGUAUGUACCACUGUCUUCCUGGAGGAAGUGACACAGGACCUGAGUCUUGAAAGCCCAGUAGGACUUAGCCAGCUCAAGGGAUUCUGAGCAGAGUGAGCCACAUAAGAAAUUACGUAGGAGCAUGACAGUUUGUGCCGUGUUUUGGAGAUCAAUGCAGUUCAUUGUUAUUGGAGUGAGGUUGGCAGUAGUGGAACAUUAGGUGGAUGAAUAAAUGUCACUAUCUCCGUCCCCAA
rnacentral:lncRNA from 1 species